CCUACGGGUGGCAGCAGUAGGGAAUCUUUCACAAUGGGCGAAAGCCUGAUGGAGCAACGCCGCGUGCAGGAUGAUGGCCUUCGGGUUGUAAACUGCUUUUAUAAGCGAGAAAUAUGAUGGUAACUUAUGAAUAAGGAUCGGCUAACUACGUGCCAGCAGCCGCGGUCAUACGUAGGAUCCGAGCAUUAUCCGGAGUGACUGGGUGUAAAGAGUUGCGUAGGUGGCAUAAUAAGUAGCUAGUGAAAUCUGGUGGCUCAACCAUUCAGACUAUUAGCUAAACUGUUAAGCUCGAGACCGUUAGGGGUAACUGGAAUGUCUAGUGUAGGAGUGAAAUCCGUAGAUAUUAGAAGGAACACCAAUAGCGUAGGCAGGUUGCUGGGACGGUUCUGACACUAAGGCACGAAAGCGUAGGGAGCAAACGGGAUUAGAUACCCCUGUAGUC
rnacentral:rRNA from 1 species